rnacentral:rRNA from 1 species
UACGUAGGGCGCAAGCGUUGUCCGGAAUUAUUGGGCGUAAAGAGCUCGUAGGCGGCUUGUCACGUCGAUUGUGAAAGCCCGGGGCUUAACCUCGGGUCUGCAGUCGAUACGGGCUAGCUAGAGUGUGGUAGGGGAGAUCGGAAUUCCUGGUGUAGCGGUGAAAUGCGCAGAUAUCAGGAGGAACACCGGUGGCGAAGGCGGAUCUCUGGGCCAUUACUGACGCUGAGGAGCGAAAGCGUGGGGAGCGAACAGG